UCGCUUCUACAUGCUGGGAUAUGCUAAAAACCAGCUUUUUCCCCGAUGAAUCGAGCGAACAAAGGGUUCAGCCGGGCGAUCUGCCUCUAUAUCACUUGCAGAUAUUGUUUCCUGCGAAAUCGAUUCGGUUGCCGCAACCCCACCCAUAUCCCUGUGUGAAUGCUUUCCUCCUUCAUCGCUGGACAGUUUCUGUAAAAAUUCCAUGGCAUGUUCCUGGUCGAUUCUUUCUUGAGGCUCGUGAGACGCAAACCACCUUGGUAGACAAGGGAUUUUCCGUUUAGAGUUGCGACCAUAACCAUAGCCGGUCGUCGGAAAUAUGAGUGGGAAUAUACGAGUUACCAGCGGCCGUAGGGUCGGAAGAGAACAACAUAUUAUUGCGACAUUACAUUCAACAGCUGACCAGGAGGCCGCUGCCGCAUUAUGUUCUGAAUGAUAUUUGAAUUAGCUUGGGGAAACAUGCGGAAUGGCGUCAGCAGUAGGAAAAUCAUACGUACCUACUAGGUCAUCUGAUCUCGCAAGUUGACGAAGGCUCUCAAGACGAAGACCACUUGUGAUGCAAACACUGAUAACGAGAACUGAAUUAACUUUCUGAGCAAGGAACAUAAUUUGGUGGGGAUUGUUGGAAACCGAUUCAAGGGGAAUAUACAAUCCUCCAAGAGCGAAAACUAGCACGAGAGCGAUUCUCUUCCUUUUAGGAAUAUUUAGCCUGAUGAGAAUCGGCAUGGGCAUCGCAAGCAAGACGACAUCUGUAACGAUGUGCACGAUCGCUGUGGAUAGCCAGAAUGCAUCCCUAUUCAAGCAGCUGCCUUCUACCAUGUCAUCCCACCAUCUUCUUACUGGAACGCAUGUGAGAAAUGACCCUACAACCACCCACAAGCCGUAUAUUAUUAAGAAAAAUAGAGCACCAGAGCAGGCUAUACGUAUCCGACUCCCUGGGAAUAUUCGGUGGUACUGUAAGGCGAUGGAUGCUUUGGUGCAAAAGAGGCUAGCGUUAUAGAUAGGGAUAGAUGCCCAAAGGAGCUGCAUAUUCAAACCUGUUAGCUCUUGCAAGUAAGACGCACAACGUUACCACCUCUGAGAACUUACGAUCACCUGUUGCUUGAACGUUUCAAACGUGAUUUCACUCCUAUUACCGCCCAGUCCGGAUUUCCAUUCUGCUGAUCGGGUUUCAAUUACUUACCGCCAAUGAACAAUCCCAUGAAUCCAAGGGAGAGAAUCUGGUUGCCCUGGUCAGCAAACUGUUGUUCACACGGAUUGAUUCCCUAGCAUACCAAAGACACUAAGCACGUCCAAUCGUCAGAACCGAUCUUUUUCACCAAAAAUCCCCUUGUGUAAAGACGAGCGGAUACAAAAAACACCGCCAGCGAUGUGAAGGUGAUGGAUAAUAUAAGUGCGUCUUUGGCUUUAUCCUCCGACUCCUCACUCAAUCCAUUUUGCAUCGCCCAAUUGGAGGUUUCCAUCUGCACCUCCAACUUUCGAAUUCAUCCGACGUCGUAAAUAUUGCGUAUGUCAAUGACAUCUGAAAUAUGUUUGCUGAUCUCUCUAAUCUCGAAAACUCAGUGUUCUCAACUAUCUAUUGGCACCCGAAGAAAAAAAUGGGGGGGCAACUUGAUGAGCUAUAAAGUACACAACCUUUUGUGAUGGACGUAUAUUGAAUAAUCUAUUAAGCGGCAUGGAACGGCCAUUUGUCGGACUUUAACUCUAAAACGCCACAGCCUUGGAUUUAGGAUAUAAAUGAAACUGUGGGCAGUAUUUCUAGGCGAGGCAUUCAACCCAGAUAGGCAUGCAAGCCUUUAUAUUUGAAGGCCGAGAGCCAAAUUCUGGCCACUUUGGGGAGUCUCCAAGGUCUUAUCGUUUCUUACCGAAGAGGAAUCCGCUGU
rnacentral:sRNA from 2 species